GAUGAACGCCGGCGGCGUGCCUAAUACAUGCAAGUCGAGCGAAUGGAUUAAGAGCUUGCUCUUAUGAAGUUAGCGGCGGACGGGUGAGUAACACGUGGGUAACCUGCCCAUAAGACUAGGAUAACUCCGGGAAACCGGGGCUAAUACCGGCUAACAUUUUGAACCGCAUGGUUCGAAAUUGAAAGGCGGCUUCGGCUGUCACUUAUGGAUGGACCGGCGUCGCAUUAGCUAGUUGGUGAGGUAACGGCUCACCAAGGCAACGAUGCGUAGCCGACCUGAGAGGGUGAUCGGCCACACUGGGACUGAGACACGGCCCAGACUCCUACGGGAGGCAGCAGUAGGGAAUCUUCCGCAAUGGACGAAAGUCUGACGGAGCAACGCCGCGUGAGUGAUGAAGGCUUUCGGGUCGUAAAACUCUGUUGUUAGGGAAGAACAAGAGCUAGUUGAAUAAGCUGGCACCUUGACGGUACCUAACCAGAAAGCCACGGCUAACUACGUGCCAGCCGCCGCGGUAA
rnacentral:rRNA from 1 species